ACCUCUAAAAUGUACUCACCCUGACCUCCAGUGUGUAACCUGUAGGUGUGGCUAGUAUUUCAGCAUUAAGCAAGCUCUGCUUUGUAAACUUGUCACAAUGACAUUCAGAACACGAGCACAUCAGCCCGGUCGCUCACAGCUCUAUGAAAUAUGUUCUGUCGGAUUUUGACAUGGAACAUGGGUGUGUGCCUUCUGACGUCAAUAUAUAUAUAUAUAUUUCACAAAUGCAUGCUGUUUAUCGUCUGCAUAGAGAUAGAGUAGCAUAGAGACCCCUCCCGGUGUCAAAUAGAGUAUCCAGGAAUUAAUGUUGCGUAUCAAUCACCAGGGGUUUUAUAAUCCGAUUUUGCGCUGCUGACGUAGGCUAUUCAAGUUAAAAAAAAUGUUUUUUUUUACAUCGUACCGCAGUGUCUGUAAAAUUCCUUUAAUGUCGUGUCCACCAAUUGAAUUCAUCUAAGCCUUUCUCGCCAGCCUUCCUCCCCAAUACCCCUUCUCUAUCGCUCUAUUUUUAGAGCGCACUGUAAUCCCUCCCCCUCUCCAUUUUCCUCCCUCUCCAGCUCUAUUUACCUAUUUUAUGGCACGCAGUCAAAGGCAGAGAGCAAGCUCUGUUCAAAUCAAAUCACGUUUUUUUGUCACAUGCGCCGGAUAGAACUUUACCAUGAAAUGCUUACUUAUGAGCCCUUUCCCAACGAUGCAGAGUAAUAAAAAAAACCCACAAGGAAUAAAAUACACAAGAAUGAAGCUAUAUACAGGGAGUACCAGUAGUAUAUCAAUGAGGCAGAUGAAAAUGCGCAGCGCUCCGUUUUUAGGUCAGUGGGACACGGAAUGGCGCUCUCUCUCUCUCCCUUCUUUUGAUCGACGAGUGGAAACAUUGUGACCUUCCUGACAUUCUAGUUUUCAGUUUUCCCUCGCAACUUUGUUUUUAAAACAUACUACACCCUCUAGUAUUGUGUCUGGGUGAAAACCGAGACAGAGGAAGAGAUGGCUCAUCUGGUGGCUGUGGUGAUUCUUUAGGGGAAAGAAAGAGCAGAGCAAAAUAGGAGGGAAUUCCUAGCUGUCUGUCUCUCACUGUGAAAAAAAGACAGAGAAAAGUGUCCUGGAAGGUGUAACCACUAAAACUAUUAUGCAAAUGAGGAAAUGAGGAAGGGAGCUGCCACUGUGAGAAAGAUAUACUGUAAACUAGUAUUAUUAUGUAAUAAAAUGGUCAUACUCUAGAUUGUUAUGAUGAGGUUGAAGCUAGGUCAAGUUGUUAUGAUGAGGUUGAGACUAGAUCUAUAUUGUUAUGAGGUUGAGACUAGGUCAGGUUGUUAUGACAAGGUUGAGACUAGGGUCUAGGUUGUUAUGAUGUGGUUGAUACCAGGUCAGGUUGUUAUGAUGAGGUUGAUACUAGGUCAGGUUGUUAUGAUGAGGUUUAUACUAGGUCAGGUUGUGUAACCCAGACAAGCUCUAGAGCCAAAUGAAGUGGCUAGAAAGUACUCUACUUGUACUGAGUUCAGUUAGUGUGUCAGUGACAGAUGGAGUAGAGACAGCUUUAGAUUAGAUCCCAAAAAUAAAACCAGACCUUAUUUAGUCUUACUUGAGCUAUUGUUAGAUAUAGUGGUGGUAGCCUGAUAGUGGUAGCAAAGACCAGAAAUGAACAGAUUAAAUACCUAACAUUAGAAACAAUAUUGAAUCUAUAGAAAAAAGAGAUAAGAAAACAAUAACUGACCAAAAGCUUCUGUUACUGAUC
rnacentral:lncRNA from 1 species